AUUGAACGCUGGCGGCAGGCCUAACACAUGCAAGUCGAGCGGCAGCGGGAAAGUAGCUUGCUACUUUUGCCGGCGAGCGGCGGACGGGUGAGUAAUGCCUGGGGAUCUGCCCAAUCGAGGGGGAUAACUACUGGAAACGGUAGCUAAUACCGCAUACGCCCUACGGGGGAAAGCAGGGGACCUUCGGGCCUUGCGCGAUUGGAUGAACCCAGGUGGGAUUAGCUAGUUGGUGAGGUAAUGGCUCACCAAGGCGACGAUCCCUAGCUGGUCUGAGAGGAUGAUCAGCCACACUGGAACUGAGACACGGUCCAGACUCCUACGGGAGGCAGCAGUGGGGAAUAUUGCACAAUGGGGGAAACCCUGAUGCAGCCAUGCCGCGUGUGUGAAGAAGGCCUUCGGGUUGUAAAGCACUUUCAGCGAGGAGGAAAGGUUGGUAGCUAAUAACUGCCAGCUGUGACGUUACUCGCAGAAGAAGCACCGGCUAACUCCGUGCCAGCCGCCGCGGUAAAAC
rnacentral:rRNA from 1 species